rnacentral:rRNA from 1 species
GACAGAGGGUGCAAACGUUGUUCGGAAUUACUGGGCGUAAAGCGCGUGUAGGCUGCUCAGAAAGUUGGAUGUGAAAGCCCUGGGCUUAACCUGGGAAGUGCAUUCAAAACUACUGAGCUGGAGUUCUGGAGAGGAAGGCGGAAUUCUCGGUGUAGAGGUGAAAUUCGUAGAUAUCGAGAGGAACACCGGUGGCGAAGGCGGCCUUCUGGACAGUGACUGACGCUGAGACGCGAAAGCGUGGGGAGCAAAC